UAGGGAAUCUUCCACAAUGGACGAAAGUCUGAUGGAGCAACGCCGCGUGAGUGAAGAAGGGUUUCGGCUCGUAAAGCUCCGUUGGUAGUGAAGAAAGAUAGAGGUAGUAACUGGCCUUUAUUUGACGGUAAUUACUUAGAAAGUCACGGCUAACUACGUGCC
rnacentral:rRNA from 1 species